GGGCUUUGUUGACUGGGAAGUGGCAUGGUGAACUUUUUGGAGAACUGGUGAUAUUCUCUAUCUCGACAGGGAUUUGGCUUACACAGAUGAACUCAUCAAAUGUAUCCUUGAUGCCCUGAUGCUUCAACUGCACAGAACCUUUCAGUCCUAAGUGGUGGGAUUCUCCAGCACUACAGCCUUUGAAGGACAACAUGAAGCACUGAAGUUCCACAAGACAGUGAGGCAUGCUGCUUAUUCUAAAAGAUCAGUGCUAAUCUAGGACUAGGUAGGGUUUGCUGCCUCCAGUAAGCUGCAUGCUCUCCACAUGCCCUUAAAGCCACCCUGCAGAAGAUCUACUGUAUGGUGUAGUGGCAAAAGAGAGUGACAGAGAAUAUACAAUUCAGAACCGGACAAGUAGUCACUGAACAGACAGAAGCCACCUACUAAUGUUCCCCUAAAGAGCUGGAGCCAUAAGUCAACCUCCACACCUCUCCGAAACAUUCCUGAAGCUGGAUGAAGCAGGGGAAAGUGCAACAGUAAGAGCUGAGGCAUGAAGUAUACCUUACAGUUUAGAAAUAUGUGAGCCUCCAUUACCGCAACUGACCUGCAAAACUACCUUUAGUAUCACUACUGAAAUGUGAGGAAGCAGAAUUUCCAGGUCACAGAACAGACAGCACUAGUCAUUCAGAGGCUGUUCUUUGGGGGUAGUUAGAAGCAGUCACAAAACACCAGUGUAGGCCUGGCUUGGGGACACUCACCAAACACUGUCCUGGCAGGGACUGAUUCUCUGUUCAGCCAAAAGGACACUUGUGACAAGAUCACGGUCAUUAUGCAGGGAAGGUAGGUCUGGAUGACAAAGUACCCGAUCUUCCGCUUCAGAUGGAAAUGAGCUGUCAUGAUUGUGUAUUCACCUGCAAAUAAACAAAUUAACUCGG